rnacentral:rRNA from 1 species
AAUGCCGGAUGCUCCAUCACACCGCAUGGUGUGUUGGGAAAGCCUUUGCGGCAUGGGAUGGGGUCGCGUCCUAUCAGCUUGAUGGCGGGGUAACGGCCCACCAUGGCUUCGACGGGUAGCCGGCCUGAGAGGGCGACCGGCCACAUUGGGACUGAGAUACGGCCCAGACUCCUACGGGAGGCAGCAGUGGGGAAUAUUGCACAAUGGGCGCAAGCCUGAUGCAGCGACGCCGCGUGAGGGAUGGAGGCCUUCGGGUUGUAAACCUCUUUUGUUAGGGAGCAAGGCAUUUUGUGUUGAGUGUACCUUUCGAAUAAGCACCGGCUAACUACGUGCCAGCAGCCGCGGUAAUACGUAGGGUGCAAGCGUUAUCCGGAAUUAUUGGGCGUAAAGGGCUCGUAGGCGGUUCGUCGCGUCCGGUGUGAAAGUCCAUCGCUUAACGGUGGAUCCGCGCCGGGUACGGGCGGGCUUGAGUGCGGUAGGGGAGACUGGAAUUCCCGGUGUAACGGUGGAAUGUGUAGAUAU